GACGAGAGCAAGGGACUGAGAGGGGCCAGGUGGCCCAGUAACACUCAGCCAGACCUCUGGGGAAAGAAAAGAAGUUGACAUUUCCGUGGACAGCCAAGGGUCAGUGGCCCGAUCUUUGUAUGGAAAGACUGUGGAAAGGCUGUAUCGAGUGUUUGCAAAACCAGGCUCCUGCUGUCACAUCAUGCUAAAGGGUUGGAGGUGGAGGAGUAGAAAGGUGCUAAAUAAAGCCAAAUUCUCAUUGUCUGCGGUCUUCUGAUUACCAGGCACUUAGGCUGCAGUUACACAGUCAGUGGUGAUGAGCUGUAAUUGCAGGCGUUUUCCAUGGUUAUUUUUUCCCCUGGAAAGAUAAAGUGAUACCUGUAAUUUCCCAAAAGAUACGCUCCAGGCUCCCAUCCCCAAGCAGAGGCUGAGCGGCCUUCAUUACCCGAGAAACAGGAGCUUUCCUUGCACCUUCCUGCUGUGAUAUGAUGAGCAGCCCUAUGGAGAGGGUGUGUGGGAAGAACCUGAAGUCUCCAGCCAGCAGCCACAUGAAUACAUCAUCUUGGAAGCAGAUCCUCCAGCCCCAGUCCAGCCUUCAGAUGACUGCAGCCCUGGUCAACAUCUCAACUGCAGUCUCAUGAGAGACUCCAGACCAGAACCACCCUGCUGAGCCUCUUUUGGAUUCUUGACCCUCAGAAACCCUGUGAGAUCAUAAAUGCCAGUCGUUUUAAGCUGCUAAGUUUUGGGGUCAUUUGUUAGCCAGCAAGAUAACAAAUACAGAUCUGCAUGAAACAUACAAGCAGAAGGAAGUAGGCAGUCAGGUCUACAAGUCUGAAAUUCAGGGAAGCAGUUCAGGCUGAAAUAUAAAUUUGAGAGUUAUUAACAUAUAGGUGAUAUUAAAAGCCAUCAGGAGCAAAGGUUUCUCUUUUUAUGGAAGCUUUCUCCACUUCCCUACUCCCUCUUCUGCGCUCUGAUGUUGGCUUGCCUUUGCUGUGAGGUUGCACGGCGAUGGCUUUGCUGUGCGCCCAUCUGACCAUUAGGUUCAGACAUAACUGAGUCUUCUUUGGAUCUUCUUCUAAACUUG
rnacentral:lncRNA from 1 species